rnacentral:lncRNA from 1 species
AUGGUGGACGACAUGCUUGAUGAGGAGAGCGACGAGGAGGGAGAAGGCCGGGGGAAGAAGACGAUGGAAGAGGAGAUGGAGGAAGAAGAGGGGCAGCGGCCAAAGGGUAGUGGACAGAGCACUGAGGGAGAGAAGCACCACCAACGGCACCACCACCACCACGAGCAGCAGCACCAUGACCAGCUGCAGCAGCAGGGUCUGGCUACCGUUGUAGAGGAGACUGAGAAAACGCAGACGCCGCCUAGUCACCAGGGCGGUACAACGACGGCGGACAGCGUGCCAAGGGGACAGAAGCGCAAGCUUGCUGAGGCCAAGGAGGAGGAAGAGGGGGAGUCGGCGGACGAGUCCACCAAGGAUUCUAAUGAGGAAGAGGAAGGAAGCAGCUCAGAGGCUGAUGAGAUGGCCGCUGCCCUGGAUGCGGAGCUCAACGACUUCAUUUGA